rnacentral:rRNA from 1 species
UUAAGCGACUAAGCGUACACGGUGGAUGCCCUGGCAGUCAGAGGCGAUGAAGGACGUGCUAAUCUGCGAUAAGCGUCGGUAAGGUGAUAUGAACCGUUAUAACCGGCGAUUUCCGAAUGGGGAAACCCAGUGUGUUUCGACACACUAUCAUUAACUGAAUCCAUAGGUUAAUGAGGCGAACCGGGGGAACUGAAACAUCUAAGUACCCCGAGGAAAAGAAAUCAACCGAGAUUCCCCCAGUAGCGGCGAGCGAACGGGGAGCAGCCCAGAGCCUGAAUCAGUGUGUGUGUUAGUGGAAGCGUCUGGAAAGGCGCGCGAUACAGGGUGACAGCCCCGUACACAAAAAUGCACAUGCUGUGAGCUCGAUGAGUAGGGCGGGACACGUGGUAUCCUGUCUGAAUAUGGGGGACCAUCCUCCAAGGCUAAAUACUCCUGACUGACCGAUAGUGAACCAGUACCGUGAGGGAAAGGCGAAAAGAACCCCGCGAGGGGAGUGAAAAAGAACCUGAAACCGUGUACGUACAAGCAGUGGGAGCACGCUUCGGCGUGUGACUGCGUACCUUUUGUAUAAUGGGUCAGCGACUUAUAUUCUGUAGCAAGGUUAACCGAAUAGGGGAGCCGAAGGGAAACCGAGUCUUAACUGGGCGUUAAGUUGCAGGGUAUAGACCCGAAACCCGGUGAUCUAGCCAUGGGCAGGUUGAAGGUUGGGUAACACUAACUGGAGGACCGAACCGACUAAUGUUGAAAAAUUAGCGGAUGACUUGUGGCUGGGGGUGAAAGGCCAAUCAAACCGGGAGAUAGCUGGUUCUCCCCGAAAGCUAUUUAGGUAGCGCCUCGUGAAUUCAUCUCCGGGGGUAGAGCACUGUUUCGGCAAGGGGGUCAUCCCGACUUACCAACCCGAUGCAAACUGCGAAUACCGGAGAAUGUUAUCACGGGAGACACACGGCGGGUGCUAACGUCCGUCGUGAAGAGGGAAACAACCCAGACCGCCAGCUAAGGUCCCAAAGUCAUGGUUAAGUGGGAAACGAUGUGGGAAGGCCCAGACAGCCAGGAUGUUGGCUUAGAAGCAGCCAUCAUUUAAAGAAAGCGUAAUAGCUCACUGGUCGAGUCGGCCUGCGCGGAAGAUGUAACGGGGCUAAACCAUGCACCGAAGCUGCGGCAGCGACGCUUAUGCGUUGUUGGGUAGGGGAGCGUUCUGUAAGCCUGUGAAGGUGUACUGUGAGGUAUGCUGGAGGUAUCAGAAGUGCGAAUGCUGACAUAAGUAACGAUAAAGCGGGUGAAAAGCCCGCUCGCCGGAAGACCAAGGGUUCCUGUCCAACGUUAAUCGGGGCAGGGUGAGUCGACCCCUAAGGCGAGGCCGAAAGGCGUAGUCGAUGGGAAACAGGUUAAUAUUCCUGUACUUGGUGUUACUGCGAAGGGGGGACGGAGAAGGCUAUGUUGGCCGGGCGACGGUUGUCCCGGUUUAAGCGUGUAGGCUGGUUUUCCAGGCAAAUCCGGAAAAAUCAAGGCUGAGGCGUGAUGACGAGGCACUACGGUGCUGAAGCAACAAAUGCCCUGCUUCCAGGAAAAGCCUCUAAGCAUCAGGUAACAUCAAAUCGUACCCCAAACCGACACAGGUGGUCAGGUAGAGAAUACCAAGGCGCUUGAGAGAACUCGGGUGAAGGAACUAGGCAAAAUGGUGCCGUAACUUCGGGAGAAGGCACGCUGAUAUGUAGGUGAAGUCCCUCGCGGAUGGAGCUGAAAUCAGUCGAAGAUACCAGCUGGCUGCAACUGUUUAUUAAAAACACAGCACUGUGCAAACACGAAAGUGGACGUAUACGGUGUGACGCCUGCCCGGUGCCGGAAGGUUAAUUGAUGGGGUCAGCGCAAGCGAAGCUCUUGAUCGAAGCCCCGGUAAACGGCGGCCGUAACUAUAACGGUCCUAAGGUAGCGAAAUUCCUUGUCGGGUAAGUUCCGACCUGCACGAAUGGCGUAAUGAUGGCCAGGCUGUCUCCACCCGAGACUCAGUGAAAUUGAACUCGCUGUGAAGAUGCAGUGUACCCGCGGCAAGACGGAAAGACCCCGUGAACCUUUACUAUAGCUUGACACUGAACAUUGAGCCUUGAUGUGUAGGAUAGGUGGGAGGCUUUGAAGUGUGGACGCCAGUCUGCAUGGAGCCGACCUUGAAAUACCACCCUUUAAUGUUUGAUGUUCUAACGUGGACCCGUGAAUCCGGGUUGCGGACAGUGUCUGGUGGGUAGUUUGACUGGGGCGGUCUCCUCCUAAAGAGUAACGGAGGAGCACGAAGGUUGGCUAAUCCUGGUCGGACAUCAGGAGGUUAGUGCAAUGGCAUAAGCCAGCUUGACUGCGAGCGUGACGGCGCGAGCAGGUGCGAAAGCAGGUCAUAGUGAUCCGGUGGUUCUGAAUGGAAGGGCCAUCGCUCAACGGAUAAAAGGUACUCCGGGGAUAACAGGCUGAUACCGCCCAAGAGUUCAUAUCGACGGCGGUGUUUGGCACCUCGAUGUCGGCUCAUCACAUCCUGGGGCUGAAGUAGGUCCCAAGGGUAUGGCUGUUCGCCAUUUAAAGUGGUACGCGAGCUGGGUUUAGAACGUCGUGAGACAGUUCGGUCCCUAUCUGCCGUGGGCGCUGGAGAACUGAGGGGGGCUGCUCCUAGUACGAGAGGACCGGAGUGGACGCAUCACUGGUGUUCGGGUUGUCAUGCCAAUGGCACUGCCCGGUAGCUAAAUGCGGAAGAGAUAAGUGCUGAAAGCAUCUAAGCACGAAACUUGCCCCGAGAUGAGUUCUCCCUGACUCCUUGAGAGUCCUGAAGGAACGUUGAAGACGACGACGUUGAUAGGCCGGGUGUGUAAGCGCAGCGAUGCGUUGAGCUAACCGGUACUAAUGAACCGUGAGGCUUAACCUU